CAAGAAUCCCACUGUCCGGGCUUCUUGCACCAACAAAUUUCACAGUGACCGCAGGCCUCUCCCUGCGGACACUGUCUAAGAAGAAGACGUGGACCACAUGCGAUGACCAGUUCCAGCACCACAUCGAGGACCAUGGGCUAAUUUUUAGGUUUACUUUACGUUAGAUUUAGGACGCAAGAGAGGUUGUAGUAGGCUUAAGUUUUUAAGUAGAAUAAGGUAGAGGGCAAGUGGACAUAAUUAGGUUAGUUAAUUAGCAUUGUAGACCAGGACUAGCUGUAAGUUAGUUUAGGUAACAAGAGAAGGUGUAUUAGAUUUAGGUCUAAACUUAGGGGUAAUGUGCCCACAGUAGGUUAAGGUAGAUUAAGGUAGGUUAAGUCAGUGAUGUCAGCAUGCAAAGAGUGUAAAACACUCUAAAGAUGUUAGAAUUAAGACUCGUAGAUAAGUUAGCAGUAAGAAAUUUGUAAAAAAUUUGUCUGAAUAAAUAAUGUCCAAGGCGGUUGAAGUUCUCAAGUUAA